UAACAAUUUCCUUCAUCCAGUUUCCUGCAUCACAUCAUUACCAGUGAUGAGGUGUGGUGUCACUACUACAAGCUGGAGUCAAAACAGCAGUCCAUUGGGUGGUAACUUGUGAAUUCCCCAUCAAAGAAAAUGACACAGCCCUCAGCAGGUGAUGUACACUCUCUUUUGGCAUAGGAAAGGGGUGAUUCUUCUGGAUUUUCCGGAGCCCAAACAAACCCUUAACUCUGAACUCUACAUUGCAACACUGACUAAGCUGAAGGCUUGAACUGACAGAGUCAGGCCAGAGAAGAAGACAACCUUUCCCUUGUGACAUAAUAAUGCCAGGCCCCAUACCGUUUUGAAGUCUGUGGAGCGCAUCAUCGAUCUUGGAUGGACUGUCCUACCACAACCACUGUAUAGUCCAGAUUUGGGACCUUCUGUCUUCUAUCCAUUCUGGGUGAUGAAAGAUGGACUGCAUGGGCAACGUUUUCCUAGCAAUUAUGCCAUCAUAGCAGCUGUGAAAUAGUGGGUCACUUCUGUUAGAGCAGAUUUUUAUGAGUGCAGCGUGCAGGCUCUUGUUCAUCACAGAACACAAACUUUCACUUAAAAUGGAAUACAAGGGGAGCCGAUCAAGCUAACAGAUGCCAACACUUUCUUGUGCAUGGAUUUUACCUUCCAAGUUGCAUCAUCUCCUUCCAAAGUGGCUGCACCUAAGAAUCCCCUAAAGCUUCUUUUCUGCGCUAUGAUGUAAAGCACUGAAGAACUAUAUGCAAUGCAGAGCAGAGGACGCAGCAACACUGCUUUUAUGCUGACUGGUUGUGUCUAACUCAUCCUCUACACAUAGUGAAAUUUAUGCAGAUGUCAAGAGUCUCAAGAUGCAAAAGUGUUGCAUUAUGUUAUAUUUAAACAGCAAUGGGAUAGCCGAGUGGUUUAUAUCAUAGAAAUUCCCAGAAAUAAAAUACAGAAUUAUGAAAUAAGUGUCUCUCACUUAUCCAGGUACAGAAUUAACCUUUUUCCCAACCAUCUUUCAGCAUGAAAACAUUAUUAUUUCUGGAUAGGAUAACCCAAGGAAGCAGGCACUUGAUAUGUAAUCCAUGUAUUUCCUUUUUUCAUAUGAAAUUUUGCACAGAUAGACAGUCACAGAGGGAAACAAUAAACAGAAUACUUUAAGCAUUGAACAUAGUAAUAUCAGUUUAAAAGA